AGAGUUUGAUCAUGGCUCAGAUUGAACGCUGGCGGCAUGCCUUACACAUGCAAGUCGAGCGGCAGCGCGGGGGCAACCCUGGCGGCGAGCGGCGAACGGGUGAGUAAUACAUCGGAACGUGUCCAGUAGCGGGGGAUAACCUGUCGAAAGAUAGGCUAAUACCGCAUACGACCUACGGGUGAAAGCGGGGGACCGCAAGGCCUCGCACUAUUGGAGCGGCCGAUGUCGGAUUAGCUAGUUGGCGGGGUAAAAGCCCACCAAGGCGACGAUCCGUAGCUGGUCUGAGAGGACGAUCAGCCACACUGGAACUGAGACACGGUCCAGACUCCUACGGGAGGCAGCAGUGGGGAAUUUUGGACAAUGGGCGCAAGCCUGAUCCAGCCAUGCCGCGUGAGUGAAGAAGGCCUUCGGGUUGUAAAGCUCUUUCGGCGGGGACGAAACGGUUCAUGACAACACCAUGGACUAAUGACGGUACUCGCAGAAGAGC
rnacentral:rRNA from 1 species